CUUUCAUUUCUCAAAAUAAUAGAACCAUUCAGUAUAAUCAAAAUCACUGUAAAUUUGUUCUCUCUUUGCUAUUUAUCUGUAGGAUCACGUAAAAUCACCUAAAACAAGCAGCUGGAGUGUCACAGUGCAAUCUAUGCUUAAACAGAGGACAGAUUUGGGUAUGCAGCUGCACCCAAACCAAACUGUGACACUCCACCCAAACCAAAACCAAGGCACUACCAUCUGUAACAUCAUGGCACUGACGAAAUCCCACACCCAGCAGCCACAGGCCAAAACUUCCAAAAUAUAUCUCUCUGAGUCAUUUAUUCAGGAAGGAAUCUUCAGAAGAACAAAAUCUUAUUUCCAUGACCAAUUACGUCUAACUGGGAGAAGGAAGAUUAUUGUUAAAACGAUGGUGAACUGCAGCAAGAAUACAUACCUUUUCUUCACAGCAUAUUACAAUAUAACACAACUUACUGCAGGAUCUGGGAAGUGGUUUGCCUUUAGAAUGUGUCAUAAUGAUUCUUUUUCUCCAUUUUUCUAUGUUUGUUUGAUGACUUCCUUGCAGCUGCCAGACAACAAUGCAUUUCUAUCUGAAGUAGCAAAAUAAGGACAGAAGACACACAGAACAUCAGAGAGCAAAGUCCUGCUUCCUCAGCUCCUCAUUACACACCCCUGUUUCCAGUGAGAGGAGGGACAGAUGGGUCACUGGGCUGCAAUUUCUUCUUAGCAGUUCCCCUGUAGUGAGGCAGGACAUUGCAAACUGUAUUCCUAGGGCAGGACCUAGAUUAGCCACUUUGAUUUAGCAACUGCUUUCUUGGCAAAUUUUUUCCAAAGACAAACUGUUCUUUUGUGAAAAAAAAAUCUGAGAAGAUAUUAAAAGGAGUGAAAGGCAUCAAAGAGAUUAUUUAACUAUCCUCUUCACCAUUAAAGAAACACAGAUAUACUUUUAUACAGAUAUACAUUACACAGAUUUACAUUAUACAGAUUUAUAUUACAUUACAUUGCAGAUAUACAUUAUACAGAUUUAUACAGAUAUACAUUAUAUUUUAUACAGAUAUACAUUGCAAUUGCUUAAAUUGCAAUUUUGCUUUACACUAUUCAUUCCCACCCAGCAGGUUUCUUCUCUUAGAAAGGGCUUGACACCCUCAAGUUUCCCUUCUAAUGAGAUAAAUCUGCUAAAUGUUAAUGAGUAAAGGUGGAAUAAUUAUAUUUGACAGAAAAUUUACAUUAGACCAAGGCAAAAAGUGUCAUCUGUCUUUGGACAAGAUGAAGAAUUCAUUCCCUUGAAUCAACUGAGAAGUUAAAAAUACAAUUACUCUGCAUGCAAUCACAGUGCCAUUCCAGAUACAUAACUGGGUCCAAAAUAUACUGUGGAGAUACACUUGACUAUUUUGAAGGGAUAUUUUUUCAGAUUUUUAAGAAGUGCAUAUUCUGCCUCCCGGCCCACAUGCAAGCUCUUAAUAGUGUCACACACUUUUUUUUCAUUCUUACCUGUCUCCUUUACAACUUCUUUUUCCUUUAGCAAAGAAAACAAUUCACCUCAGCUCAAUAAGCUGUGAACAAUUUUUCCUCCAAGGUUGCCAAAUUGUUUCAGCUAAGACCACAAGAGUCUGUUAUUUCCAGUAUUUCCUAACUGCAAUGAUCUUCUUUCCAGAAACAUUUCUGUUGCCUUCUGUCUUUCUCCAUCAACUUUCUGUGAAUUUUUUCCCUCCUUUUGGGAAAUUCAAAUCCUUAUAUGACAAUGCAACAGAAGGGGCCUUUAGCAAAUUAUUUUAUUCUAAGAAACUUAAGUGUAUUUAACCAAUCCUGUCAGAAUUUCAACUUUAUAUGGCAGAUAUUAAAGGAAAUUUAACUACUGCAAGUCCUGAAGUUAAUACAAGAUGCUGUAUAACUUCCACAGUUUUACAAUAAUACAAUAUUUCAAUAAUUCUAUUAUCCUCUAGAAAUAACCUAACUUAAUUAAUCCCAACUGGAACUUUUGCUGUAGAAAUACUGUAUAAAUGCUAAAUUGAUACAGAAUGAGAAGUGUGCUCUUAUAGUGUACCUGGGAAUCAAUAUCUACUUAUUUGAUGAAAGUGACAUAUUAUGUCUAUAUUCCUUUAUGAAUGCUUUUCCUGUUGAGUAAAUUAAUUCAGUGCCUUGGAAAGAGAAAACAGGCAUCAGAUGCAUGCCUGAUGGAACUCCUUUGAACUUUAUGAAGAAAAGCAUAGAUUAAUUUGGCCCCCCACACACAGAUGAGUCAGAUUGCCAGGGAGUUAGACCAACACUAUUUCAUGGUGAAAGCCAAGAGCAAGUAAUGAGAAAAAGACAAUGGUUUAUUUUGGAAAAAAAAGCUUGUCGUCUCCUGAGAGUUAACAACAUUAUUUGUCUUUUAAAAAGAAGAAGAUUUUGGAAGCUAUUCAGAAAAGAAAAAGUUUUUAAAAAUUAAAUUCUGUGUUUGGAAAAAAAAAAAAAAGGAAAAGCAACCAAAUAUAACAUGGAAAGUUUUAUUCCCUGUAAUGCACAAUUAAUGUACUACCAGAAUUAGUCAAGCAGUCUUCUUUUAAGACAUGGACACUGCAAUAAGACAGAUUCAUCUAGUACUAGUCAAUGAAAUGUAGCUGAAAAAGUAAAAAGUUGCAUGUAGUUAGUUACAAAGCACACUAUUUCCUGAAACAUGACAUGGUUCAAGAAGCACAAGAAACUGAACACACUGGAAAAACUAAAAAUUCAAAUAUUGACAGCCAAAAUACACUGUUCUUGCUUACCCAAAUACUUCCAACUAAUUCCAUAUGACAGCUUUCCAAGUGUGCUUGGCAGACUUGGGUGUAUGCAUUUCCUUUUGCAGAAUUUGAAUAAAGAGCACACAAUCACACUUUCCA
ensembl:lncRNA